rnacentral:rRNA from 1 species
UACGUAGGGGGCAAGCGUUGUCCGGAUUUAUUGGGCGUAAAGAGCGUGGUAGGCGGCCAUACAGGUCCGUUGUGAAAACUGGAGGCUUAACCUCCAGACGUCGAUGGAAACCGUAUGGCUAGAGUCCGGAAGAGGAGAGUGGAAUUCCUGGUGUAGCGGUGAAAUGCGCAGAUAUCAGGAAGAACACCCGUGGCGAAGGCGGCUCUCUGGGACGGUACUGACGCUGAGACGCGAAAGCGUGGGGAGCGAACAGG